AAAACCAGGAGCAGGAUAUUGACCGUGA
rnacentral:sRNA from 1 species